UUCUGGACUAAAGAACCCUAGAACCAUCCUUUUUAAGAUUUAAGAUAAAUAAUUGCAAACUCAGACUUAUUUUGCUCUGUAGCCACUUUUCCCGCACCUCAGGAAACUUCUCCAUGAGUUUCUUGCAAAAUGUCUCUCAAUGUUUGACUUUUUUACGAGGCUGAAGUCGCUUUUCAUCCUCCGGCUUCUCGCUGGUGGAGCGGGAGAAUUCGAACGAGAAGCAGGAGAAUGAGAAGGAACUUCAGCUUGGUCCGCGUUGCUAUGGUGACCAGCAGUCUGCACAUCAGUCUCCAAGGUUAAAGGCUUGACCAACGUUUAACUGACCUGUCCAGGAAGACCUUUCACAGAGGAAUCAAAAGAACACAAUGGAGGAGAGAGAAAAAAUCAUAGAAGAAAGAGAGAAGCUUCUGAAUCAGAAAGAAAUUAAUUUUCUAGAAAGAGAAAAGCAUCUGGAUGGGAAAGAGAGCCGGUUAUUAGAGAUGGAAAAGCGUUUGGAUGGGAGAGAUACUCGUUUGGAUGAGAGAGAAAAGCGCCUGGACGGAAGAGAUAUUCGUUUGGAUGAGAGAGAAAAGCGCCUGGAAAGAAGAGAGGGACAGACAGACCCAAGACAACAUGUCUUGUCUAGGAGAAGUCAUUGGGGGUUCCUAGGGUCUUUCCUGCCCAUGGGAGAAAGUUUUCCAAUUAUCCCACCCCCCAUAAAAAGAAGAGGAAGCAUUGCUGAACCUCUAAACUUGGGAAAAGAAAAAAGCCCACCAAAGCCAGACAAACCUGCAACUGAACCUGACCCUGUUGUCGUGAGCUGAGUUCAAUGUGGAAGUUCAGCCUAGAGAUUCUGGAGAUGACACCAACCAGAAAUCACAUUGGAAGCCUUUAGCACAAUUGCAGUUUUCCCAUUUUCAUGUUUUUAUUGACAGUUUAUCUAGCAGAGAUAAAGAUCAAGAUUUGUCCCACAUAAUGAGUCUCAUAAAAUUACAAAGGAACAUAUGCACCCUUUAGGUCUUCUGGGCACCACCAUCCCAUCAAAUCUAAUAAGAGGUUUUUGUAAAAUUACCUUUAAAAAGUAACAAUGAAAAGCUA